rnacentral:rRNA from 1 species
CCUACGGGGGGCAGCAGUGGGGAAUAUUGGGCAAUGGAGGAAACUCUGACCCAGCAACGCCGCGUGAAUGAUGAAGGUCUUCGGAUUGUAAAGUUCUUUUCUAAGGGAAGAAGAAAGUGACGGUACCUUAGGAAUAAGCCUCGGCUAACUACGUGCCAGCAGCCGCGGUAAUACGUAGGAGGCAAGCGUUAUUCGGAAUGACUGGGCGUAAAGGGUGCGUAGGUGGUUUGACAAGUUGGUAGCGUAACUCCGGGGCUCAACCGUAAAAUUGCAAUUGAUACUGGCAGUCGUGAGUACAGUUGAGGUAGGCGGAAUUCGUGGUGUAGCGGUGAAAUGCUUAGAUAUCACGAAGAACUCCGAUGGCGAAGGCAGCUUACUAAACUGCCACUGACAUUGAUGCUCGAAAGUGUGGGUAUCAAACAGGAUUAGAUACCCCAGUAGUC